GCCCGAGUAGCGCAACGGCAGCGCAGCCGAUUUGUAAUCGGCAGGCUAGCGGUUCGAAUCCGCUCUCGGGCUCCG
rnacentral:tRNA from 1 species